AUCUUGUAUAAAUUUAUUGUGGAAGAACAGUAAUGCAGAAAAAUCUCUCAUAAGCUUUUGUUCAAUGUAAUGUCAUCACCUCUGCAAUUUUGUUGAAAAACAUUAUGUGCAUUGUGGCAGUGUCAGGAUUCCCAGCAACUAUUUUUAUAGCUUCUUUCAUCCAACUGGAAACUUAUUAUGGAAGAGAAAGUAUAUACAAUAGCUUUUACAACAAUAGUUAAUGUAUUUGUGUUAUCUAAUAUCACAGGUGAGCUGUCGGUCAAAAGUGGCGGUCUCUGUCCCACCCAGACACCCAACACUAAAAGCUGUUUGUUAUGAGGCAUUGAUGAAAAUCUAAGUUGUUUUGGUCUUAGUAAAUCCUGUAAGACUGCAUGACGACCACAGGCAAAGGUUCGGGUUAUGGCUUUUGUUUUUUAUCCUAAUUAGGAAAUACUAAGCAACGUAAUGGUAUUUAAGUUUCAUGUAGGUUUUUUUUGUCACUAGAUGGCAUAUAGGUAAAACUUCAUAAUGGAGGCCGUGGCUAUCUUCAUGGUUAUGGUUUGACCCGUGUCCUGGCAAAUGGCAACCAACAGUUAUUUUAUUAAGGCUUUUUUUGUUUGUUUUUUGUUCGUAUUUUUGCCAGUUAUACUUUCUUUUAUUUGAAUUUUCAAAUGAAUAUGGCAGUGGAAAGCUGAACGGCAAGAAAAAGUUGAUUUGUGAACUGAAUUUUUGAGAGUUACGUGAAUAGAAGGAACAAGAGAUUCUACUAAAGAAGAAAAUGCAUUACAACUUCAAAUUGAGUGGAAGAUUGUUAGUUUUUGCUUCUGCUAUAGAAGCAAACAAAAAAAUUAGUUAUAGCAAAACCUGUACAACUGUAAUCAGGAGCAACCAGGAAUUUGGACAAGAAAGAAACAACCUUUCAACAAGAAAUCAGUUUUGAAGCCUGAGCAAUAUUAAUGCAUUCAACUGCGGCAAAGUAUGCUCCGGUAUUUGACAUGUUUUGGAACGCCAGUGUACUAACAAGAAAUCUACUGGGGCAUCCUUGGCUAUCCAAACAAAUUGAAGCGGAUCUCAAAUACCUACUGGCGAUUUUUCAGUUUUCUUCUCCACUUCUAUUAUCCAUAUGCAGUUUUUACGCCACUUCAUUACCUUCAUGGUGUGAUAUUUUAUCAUUCCGGAAAAAGGAGUCUGGAAAUUGAUGUUUCUAAUAUACAGCUGGUGUUCAGGUUUAUUUUUACAUAAUGAACUUUCAAUUGGAAGUUGAGUGUUUUAUCAGAUUAUGGAAUCCUACUUUGAAAACCAAACUAUUUCCUUCUUCAAAUGGAUUUUGAACUAUUGUACAUAUGGUAUUAUGUACUCAAUGAUAUUUUCGUGAAGCCUUUAAUUGACGUUAUACUGAAAAAAUUUCCAUGGAAGGAAGUUCUUGCAGGAUCUGUUAUCGACCGUUUAUGUUAUGCAGUAAUUGGAUCUGCUGUUCAGUUAGAAACUUAAACUUAGAAAUAUUCUCAGCGAAGAAUUUAUAUGAAGAAUGUUAUUUCAUUGGAAAAAGUUCCUGGUUGAGACAAGAGAUUUAAAAAUGAUACUGUUUGGAAAGACGACCGGCAAUUUCAAGAUUCAUUUAUUUCCUUCCACAUUAUAGUAUUAUUAUAUUUAAAAAAGAUUAAAUUGCAUAUCUGGGC
rnacentral:lncRNA from 1 species